rnacentral:lncRNA from 10 species
CUUCCACAGCACUUUAUAGUCUCUAUCUGAGGUCUCUGCAGCUCUGGCCUGCUGGGAGUUGUGAACGGUUUAGGUCCUGGCCUGGGAAGAGAAACCAGAGGACCUGGUAAAGGAAGUAGGGUUCACCUUCUAGCCCUGUGGAGAUGCCGCGAGGGAACAGGUCAAGGGUCAGAGCUGGGAGAUCAUGCCAUGGAGGGAAGGUGAGCUGCAGCCACCUGCCUCUGCACCUGGCAAACACAAACAGACCUUUGGCCACAGCAGCCUGGGAACCAGAAGCAGCAGCCACCUUCCGGGGGGCCAGACCAGUGCCCCUUUCCCUUUUCUCUGCCCAAGCUUAUUCUCAGUGGACAUGGGUUGCUGGCCACCAAACUAAGGCCGCGCAGCCUCUCCUGACCUCACGGUAUGGUUUCUGACUGCUCAGUAAGGGCUGGUUCAAGGUGAAAGCUGAGCCACGGUAAAGCUGCUCAGGGAGAGGAAAGCACCCAAUUACUGGGCAUUCAGAGAGUGGGGCCAAUCCCCUUGAAAUGACAACCCUAUUUUGUGACCCUUUUAUUGGCCAUCCUGGACCAAAGUUUGCCCCUCUGCCUCAGUUUUCCUUUUGGGAAUCCAGGCAUGAGAAUGGUGGCCCUCUCCUGGUGGCUUCAGCACGUAUGGCUCCCUGAAUAUCAUCUCCAUGCUCCAGGUGGAGGAGAAAGCUGAGGGCUCCAGCUGCCCAAGCACCAGAACUUUCUAGCAUCCUCCUAUCCCAGUGCCCGCCCCAGGCCUGCCUCUGACCACCAUUCACCCUCAACCUGCUGCAGGGCCCAGCCUCACCCCACAUAAGCAAAGCUGCCAGCAGCGUCCUUUGUGGUGCUGCUCCCGUGUGGCACUGCCUAGGGGCCCCACCAUGGGGCAACAGAUGGACCUAUGGUCUCUCCAGAACAAUGGUGGGGGAGGGGCCCUGGCAUCGCCCGCCCCAAACAGGAAGCGCUGCAUGAGCUUCAAAGGGCUGGCAGGGCCAAGGGGCUGAGUGGGGGAGCCAGUGCCAGGACUGGCGGCUGCCUGAAGAGAUGCCUGCCAGCCUCGGGAUGCCCAGCCUGGUGGUGGAGGUGGGGCUGUGGUGGCCAGGGCAGCUGGCUCUUGAGCAGAAGAUGUCUGGCACCCUGAGGACAGCAGCCUGUAACCUGGGAGCAGGUUAAGGAAAGAGGGCAUGGAGUUUGCUGUUUCCCGGUUCAACUGCCACUCGCCAGCGGGGCUGCAGGUUCUUUCCCAGGCCGCGGUUGGCCUGGCCCUCCGGCAAGUAAGCAUGAGGGGCAGGGCUGGCACCAAGCCCGCCGCCCACUCCCUGCCUCCUGCUCCCAGCUGCUCCGCUCAGAGCCUUUUCCUCUCCACUUCCUGUUCACACAGGGGGGGGCGGGAAGUGGAGGGAGGAAGUUGGGGGGAGGCGUGUAGGGGGGACCCAUUGAAUAAAAGGAAUUAACCGUUUCCCUCCUCUGACCUCUGGGAAUUUCCGCCUGUGAAAGUGUCUCGAAGAAUCAGUAGGGCUGGGGGAGGGCAGGAACUAGAACUGGUGGUCUCGGGGGAAUGAGCUCACAUCCGAGCUGGCCACGCUGAGCCCUGUGCCCUCUCCAGGGCUGGUGCCCUUGGCCAGUCGGCCGCGGUGACAGGAGAAGGGAGGGAGAGGCCGGGCAGGCAGGGCCUGGGACUCUGGGCCGGCACACCCUCCGGCGGCCACACCCCCAGGAGCCAGGGUAGGGAGCGGUGGGCUCGGGAAGCCGGUAGACGGCGCCCCCUAGUGCCCACUGCAGACUCGGCGGGGCGGCCCCCAGGGCCCUCUCCAGGGCGGGCCUCAGGAAGCACCUGCUCCCCAGGACCAGUGGCCGCCCUGCGUCUCCCCCAGGUGGCUUCCUUGUUUACAGGCCUCCUGCCCUGGUCCCAGCGUCACUGCCUGUGGCCACUCCUUCUAUUUCCAGUGACCGCUCCAGGAGUAGCUCAUUC